GAAUGAAGGGAGGAUGGUAAUAAGCACAUAAAUUGAUUUGGGUCUUAUGGAUUGCUUCUCUAAUGCCUUUCAACUUUGAUUUGGGGGCAUGGUUAUGCACCAAAACG